GAAUGUUUACAGGUGUUCUGUCUCAGGACUCCAGAUUCAAACAUCCACUAAGAAUCCCAACACCAUUAAUUCAGAUGGGACUACAAGAAGGCAUCUCACACAGACCAACAGGCUGCCCUUCAACAUGCACAGACUGAAGAUGUACAGCACCUUCAGGCUUAUGAAGGCCACAGGCAAGGCCGCAGCAGCAGCAGCAGUGGCCAGUGGAAUGCCAGGUGUUCAUUGGUGGGGUUGCCACCUUGUCAUUCUAGCAGGGUUCCUUUACUUUCCAUGCUACGUGGCAAACAUGCUGGAUGUGACAAUUCCAAGCAUGAAGACUGAGUGGUGGGGAAAGCUGCAUCUCCUGCUCCUGGAUCUGGCAUGCAGCUUUCGCAAGCAUGGGACCCUACAAGAACAUAAAGGCUAUAUAUGCCAUUCCUCUGUGAUUAUGUCAAAACUCACUGCAAAACUGAUAAUGUUGAAUUAAAUCUUUUGGCAGUUUUAUUUUA